UCUUUUCUGCAAUUGCUUAAAUUACAGUCCACCUGCAACGACCAUUUAUUUGCCUGAUUUUCAUCUGCAGCUCAAAUUAAAUUAUUUUAUUAAAAAAUUAUGAUCAGAAUUGUUAAUGGGAAAGGAGAACCCCUUAAAACUUGCCUAUCAAUGAGUGUCUCUGUACCUCAGUUGCUAGUAGUGCCCAACUAGUAUCUUGGAGGCUCUGUGGGUUCAAAUCCUUUCAAAGCCUGAAUUUUUUCAAGUUUCUUUUCUGCAAUUUCUUAUUAAUAAUGAAUUACAGUCAACCUGUGAGGAUCAUUUCUUUGCUUGAAUUUCAUCUGCAGGUCAACUGAAAUCUAUUCCUUUCAAAAUAAGGACUUUUGUAAGAAUUUAACAACUUGUUAAUGUCUCCAUUUGCCAAUAAGUAUAUAAAAAAACUGAAAUUAUUUCUCUAAUAUGGUUGUUGCUUUCUUUAUAGCAAGUGACACAAUGUCAGUUGAUAGGAAACGGUUUAUUCGGUAGCACUGAUUGUCUGUGAUUCCUUCGAAGAACAACCUUUGGGGCCAGUUGCAGAGGUUUCAAGUGAUUUCUAUUCCCUAAAAGCCGACUCAGUGCUCGUAAAAACGCCCAAAAUGGAUUCAAGCUGUUUUGUCCGAGGCGGCUCGGGGAAGGUUAACAUGCCAUCUUUCUUCACGUGUCCAUUGAAGAGAGGCGCUUGGAAAACUGAUUCAAAAUGGCUCUUUAAACGUUCCAGUUUCGUCUCAUCACACUGAGGACUGCAGAGUGCUGACCUCGCCUUUUAGUAAAGGAAGAAGCCUCACAGGCAGCGCGCCCUUGAGGCUCUGACUGCUCCACGUGAUCGGGUGGGCGUGCGCAGAUGGGAGGGAAACAGUUCUCUGGCAGACAUUAGAGGGGUUUUAAGAAAACCACAACUGCAACGGCAACGGGAACGUCACUAAACAAAAGGUUUAAUGAAUAGAACAAUGGCUUUGCAAGUGCGUUAUAAAUUUUUGUAAAUUUCUCUGCGUCCUCUGCAAAACUAUAACGUGAAAUCACCAAACUUUGCGUUGUUUGGAGAACGUGAACGACGACGGUUAAUUUUUUUAAAUUUCAAUUUCUAAUUUAACGCCGUGUUCCUCAUUCAAUUUCGUUAUAGAUUUGACAGUGAAAAACAAACUAAAUGACUUUAGAGUAACGCGUGAUUCGUAAGUAAAAUAAAGGUCCACUUUUUAACCGA